AUUGAACGCUGGCGGCAGGCUUAACACAUGCAAGUCGAGCGGGGUGAUGGUGCUUGCACUAUCACUUAGCGGCGGACGGGUGAGUAAUGCUUAGGAAUCUGCCUAUUAGUGGGGGACAACAUCUCGAAAGGGAUGCUAAUACCACAUACGUCCUACGGGAGAAAGCAGGGGAUCACUUGUGACCUUGCGCUAAUAGAUGAGCCUAAGUCGGAUUAGCUAGUUGGUGGGGUAAAGGCCUACCAAGGCGACGAUCUGUAGCGGGUCUGAGAGGAUGAUCCGCCACACUGGGACUGAGACACGGCCCAGACUCCUACGGGAGGCAGCAGUGGGGAAUAUUGGACAAUGGGGGGAACCCUGAUCCAGCCAUGCCGCGUGUGUGAAGAAGGCCUUAUGGUUGUAAAGCACUUCAAGCGAGGAGGAGGCUCUUUUGGUUAAUACCCAAGAUGAGUGGACGUUACUCGCAGAAUAAGCACCGGCUAACUCUGUGCCAGCAGCCGCCGUAA
rnacentral:rRNA from 1 species